rnacentral:rRNA from 1 species
UAGUCCACGCCGUAAACGAUGAUCACUCGCUGUAGGCGAUACACAGUCUGUGGCUAAGCGAAAGUUUUAAGUGAUCCACCUGGGGAGUACGAUCGCAAGAUUGAAACUCAAAGGAAUUGACGGGGGCCCGCACAAGCGGAGGAACAUGUGGUUUAAUUCGGUGAUACGCGAGGAACCUUACCUGGACUUAAAUGUAAGUUGCAUGAUUUAGAGAUAGAUCUUUCUUCGGACUACUUACAAGGUGCUGCAUGGUUGUCGUCAGCUCGUGCCGUGAGGUGUCAGGUUAAGUCCUAUAACGAGCGCAACCCCUACCGUUAGUUGCCAGCAUGUUAUGAUGGGGACUCUAGCGGGACUGCCGGUGCAAACCGAGAGGAAGGUGGGGAUGACGUCAAAUCAUCACGGCCCUUACGUCCUGGGGCUACACACGUGCUACAAUGGUAACGACAGAGGGGCA